UAAAAAUUAAAUUCAGGUUUGAAUUAACAGCUUGAAUUCAUAAUUCGAAUAUUAAAUCAAAGAUCAAAUGAAACUUAAUUUUACAAAUCAAACUUACAUUUAAGUUCAAAUACAUACUUAAAAACUUAAAGCUUGAAUUCAAGUUCACAUUUUUAGCGUAAACUCAAGAUUUUUGUCACGCCCCGCGAUCGCCCGCCUAUUUGGCCAGGUCGCGGUGCCGCAACAGACCGCCGAACGGACAAGGUUUUCCCUGUACCGCGGACAGAGUCUCCUCUGUACAUUCAAGACGUCGCAAUCAAUACAAUGUACAAAGUUCCAACCAGAAACACAUUUCAAUCAAAGAUUGCAUAAUGGAAAAUAUCAAACAACAUAACACAUCCUAUGUUAUUACAUGCAUUCACAUUCAUAUAUUUUUACAUCACAAUUCUCAUAUUACAUUUACACUAGCAUUCACUUAACUUCCAAAUACAAUCCGAUUUAACAUGAUUAUUACAACUUGAUUCUUUUCAUUUUUUACAUCUCUAAGUAACCGACUCGGGGUACCGCUAUCUCUGGUCUCGGUGGUAGGGCGCUAACUAUGAUGCUACGCCCUCGCCUCGCGCCGCCCCGCCGCUCACGUGUGAACCUGUAACACCCCAAAACCACGUGGGGUGAGAACCAACUCCAUGGUUCCCAGUGGGUACGGCCACCCAAGGGAAAAGCUCGACCAAUAGGUCCAAGGGAGGCAACUGCAAGUUAGUUCAAUAAACAGAUAGAUAUAUAUAUCUUUAUUAUGCAACUAAUAAAACCAUGUCUUGCCUCACGAAUGCAAUAAUGCCAUACUAUAUGCGAAUCAUGCAACUAUACAAGUAGAAUAAAGGAUUUUACUUUCUAUCAUGCUAUUCAUAACUUUUCCAUAAUUUUAUACAUCCUGUCACUUUACAAUCAUUGGUUACUUGCUCCUAAGGUUUUUUUCUACCCUAGCCAAGCUAACCACCCGACUCGAUCUCGAGUCAAUCAACUGCGGAAUACCGCACCAAUACCAGGCUCGAGGUAAUGGACGUCUCACAUACACCUCAGCCCCAAAUCCACUCGACAGGGAUACUCAAUCUAUAGCUCAUAACGCUUAAUGUACAUUCACUUGGCUUUUACCCAAUUGCAUCGAGGUUCACCCAGUUCCCCUCGAACUCACAACCCAAAAUCCCGUCAAAGCAAGGGACCUCGAACCACCCCUAGGGACCGUCCUUCGGGGCCACUAUCCCCGUGGUGACCUACUCCGGAGCGCACCGCUUGAGGGGGAGCUACCUCCUUCAAGCCAAGACUUAUCGUGAGUAUAGAUCUAAUCCUCAUCUUGAGGAUUCAUAGCCACUUGUCACAAUGCCAUUGUCAUGAUAGGUUUUCUAUCUAUUUAUUCAUGCCGCUCUCUAGGCCGUUCUUGUCUCAAUGCCACUCUUGGUUAAAUUAUGUUUAACAACUAUAUUCUCUAUGCCAAACAAUGUCUCUAUUAUCAAUGUCACCUUUGUUUACUAUGUCCAACUCCAACUCUCACAUUCACACAAUUAUAGGGUCCUAAUAUACAUGUCCAUUAUGCUUCUACCAUUCUCUAUGUUCAACUACGUUAGAACAUGUCAUUGAAAGCAACCAAGGUUCACAUGUACUUAGCCCUAUCAUGCAUGAAUGAUACGUAAUAUAUAUACUCAAAUGCCACAAGUGUUUGUUAGGUUCAUGACAUUAGGUUUACACUAUACUUGUUUAACCUAUGUUCAAUACACUAGGUUUAAUGCCACUUGAUGUCCAACCUAUAUUCUUUGACACUAGGUUCAUAUCAUUCAUGUUCAACCUAUGUCCAUGACUCUAGGUUUAGUGCCACUCGAUUUAAUGUAUAUAGAUUGUCCAUAUGCACAUUUUCAUUUCUUAACAUUAACUACAUGCUUGCAUUUAUUAUUUCUAUAUCAUGCUUAUCAUACCAUUACUUAGCAUUAUCCACAUGCAUGCUCUACAACAUGUCAUUAUGCAUUCCUUUAAGCAUAUUCUUAUAAUGUUAACAUUCAUACGCCCUUUAUCUUAUGCAUUCAAAGCAUUAAUUAUAUACAUUUAUCUAGCAUUCUAUAAUAUGUUAACAUACUUCUUUUCACAUUCUUACAUUAUGUUAAUAUACAUUCCUUUAGCAUUUUACAUUAUAUGUCAACAUGCAUCAAUAUGAAAUCUCAUUUCUCUUAGACAUAUAGGCGACCUAGUCGCUUCGGUAAGCACAACCCACCUCAUUUCGCAUUCCGAUUGCUUGUCGACAUUUGCAAUCGGCCUCCCGCGGCACCCAGCACCUGGUUUGACCCGAUCUCUCGCGCGACCACCCGAACGGCUUCCAAUCCAUGAUCCGAAAAUUAAAGGUUUUCGGUUAUGUGCCACGAUGCUUCAAAUCCAUUUUCAUGAAUUUACGAUAUCGUCUAGGCCCUCCAGGCAGAAACAAAGUCUAAACGUCAAUUUCUUUAAUAACUUCGCAACGGCUUGACGAAUCGCCGAACCGACUUCGCCAACGCGUUCGUUUACCUAUCAAUUAGAUUUACAGAGGGUCAAAUGAGAUCAAACCCUUAUAUUUACAAAACUAGCAUUUUUGAGCCCUAGAUUAUAACUAGGUAAAAAUUCACCAUUAUAGCCUUAGUUUCAAACAUCAAACCUCUAAUUAGCAUGCUAGAAUACCUCUAAAUCCAUUCUUAGAGCUUAAAAAUCAAACUAGAGAGAAAUGCCAUUAAAGGGUUUGAAACUUACCUUCAAAGCUUGCUCUCUAAUGGCCAAUGAGGAAGAUGAAGAAGAUGACUUUCCUCCAAGCUUCCUUCUCCACCAAAACCUUCAAUUUUGGGAGAGAUCUAGAGAGAGAAAAAGAGUUUUCUCUCUUUCCCUUUCCUUGCGUGUGUGUGUGUGUGUCGUGUGCGUGUGUGGUGUGCGGCCAAAGGAGAAGAAGAAGCAACAGCUUCUUCAUAAUACCCCUCAAAUACUAUUCACUCCAGGCAGCUUGAAAUCUGAUAACUUUCGCCGGAGCUCCCUGAAUGUCCGUUUGAGCUCAAACUUGACAGUCAUCUUCGGUUUUACGUACUGAGCAAGAAUAUAUUUUAAGUUUUCAGUUUCGACCCCAUUUGGUCACCGAAAACUGUGCCGAACUGUAAUCUUUAUCAGAUAACUCUCGGAUUUUAUUUCUCACUCUACGGAUGUCAGAAAAAUAUGAAACUUUAAAUCUAGCCUCAUAAAAAUAUUUCUGACUUAUUCUCCAAUUUUCAUAAUUUUCUGUGACUGUAUAUUUUCUGCUAAUUUAUUUGUCCCGUUUCCAACAGAAAAUUCUAGAUCUUCUGUUUUCAUUCCGAUUUCAGUACAAGUCACUUCUGACUUAUGUUUUACUUUUAUAAAUCCAAUAAAAAUAGUUUCUCACACUAUUUUUAUUUACUUUUAUUUUUAUACCAAAAUCUGGUAUGUUACAUUCUCCACCCCUUAAAAGAAUUUCGUCCGCGAAAUUCAAACUACGCUUCGAUUCAGCUCCGCGAGCAAUUGAGGGUACCAACUCAUUCUCCCACUCCAAAGCGGCUUUACACAAUCAUGGUUCCAGAAGCGGCUCAUACUGAAGGAUGUGGGUUUAACCCUAAACGCAUUUGCAAGGUGUGAUACAACAGUGCAUCACGGGUCUUGCAAGUCAUAGUGGCAGCGUAAGUCGGUACUCGACGACUCUACGCGCUCCAACACCACUCGUCAUUCGGCACACAAAGAACUCUUCUUUGCACUUACCUUCCCUUCAGGGAAUACAUUCUGAUUCGAUCACCGACAUUGCUUAGGAGCAAUAUCACCGCUGCAUCGUUCCGUCGCGAGUGCUCUAAUUUCGCACUGACCCUUAACUUUAACGCGAGAUGGCCCACUUCGGCACAUCUUAAGUUUUAGUUCGUUUACGAGCAUAGUCUCCAACAUCACGUGGCCUUCUACUAGCUCAAGGUCUCACCAAGAGCACUUCAUCUUCUGAUACCAUAUGCUACGGUCAACAUCGAACUAUUUCCGCAACGAGCUAGCACGAGCGCUUCGUUCGUGAAUUCGAGUCAAACCCCUCGAUAAGGCUAUCCGCCAAAUUGCUCUCUUCGGUCUCCACAGGUGGACCAAAGGCCACCAAUCCUAUGUAGGCCUACCGCCUAAACCUGUCUCAACACGCAGCGUCUCUCGUUAGCAAAUGCAGACCCAAUCAUCAUCGGGCGAAAUUCUCACUUGGGAAUUCGCACACACUCCAACCAGGAGCAACUAAGAUCCCAAACCACGGCAAGCCCUCGGGUUGGGUCACAACCAUACUCGGUGUACCAUCGGUCACACAAUCUAUCACGUGGCAUUCCACGCUCCCGGGUCUAAGCUCGGACUACCGUCCUGACCAGAACUCUGCACUACCCGUAGGUACCGGGUCACUGUCACUCACAGCUGACUGCGUCUGCGCAAUGGGCCCAGGCUCCACAGUCCACAAAUGGUCUAGGCACGGGUCGUCCCCAAGCACUACCCGCCGUCGUCGUCCUACACAACAUGCUCUACCGAGUCACACGUAUCACUACCGGCUACUAUACACCUAAUGCGAGUCACCAAUCCCACGAGUGAUCCUGUAACAUACCGAACUUCUAAAAUCAUGAAGUCACGGUGUACAUUUAAAUAGUUCCGGUGAGGUUGCGGUGGAAUGUAACAUACGGGAUUUUAAAUACAAAAGUAAAAAUAAAUAAAAAUAGUAUGAGAUACUAUUUUAUUGGAUUUAGAGAAGUGAAAUAUAGGUUGGGAAUGACCUAUGCUGAAAUCAGAGAGAAAACAGAAAAUUUAGAAUUUUCUGUGAGAAACGGGGCAGAUAAAUUAGCAGAGAAUGCACAGUGUCAGAAAAUUAUGAAAAUUGGCGGAGAUGUCAGAAAUAUUUUUAUGAGGCUAGAUUUAAAGUUUCAUAUCAUUUUGACACCCGUAGAGAGAGAAAUAAAAUCCGAAAGCUAUCUGAUAAAGAUUGUAGUUCGGUUCAGUUUUUAGUGACUAAACGGGGUCGAAACUGAAAACUUAAGAUAUAUUCUUGCUCAGUACGUUAAACUGAGCCUGCCUGUCAAAUUUGAGCGAAAAUGGACAUCCGGAAGGGCUCCAACGAAAUUUAUCAGAUUUCAAGUUGCCCGUAGUGAAUAGUGUAUAGUUGAGGGGCAAAAUGGUAAAAAGGGUUUUAAACCCCUUUUCUUCUUCUUCCUCCCAGCCGUGCUCACCCACGACACACACACCCACACACGUAUGGAAGGGAGAGAGAGAAACUCUCCUUUCUCUCUCUAAAUCUCUCCCAAAAUGGAUGGAUUUGGUGGAGAUUGAAGCUUGGAGGUGAAUCGCCUUCAUCUUCUUCAUCUUCUCCACCUUGAGGGCAAGCUUGAGAGGUAAGCUUUUGCUACCCUUUAAUGGUAGAUCCUUAAUGGUUGGUUUAAAUACCUUAGAAAUGGAUUUAGAGGAAUCCUAGCAUGCUAUCUAGAUGAAUGAUGCUUGAUUCAUGAAGGAAUUUGGUGGAUUUUUAUCUAGUUGUAAAUCUAGGGUUCAAAAUACUAUUUUGGUAAAUAUGAGGGUUUGAUCUCAUUUGACCCUUCGUAAACCUAAUUGAUAGGUAAACGAACGCGUUGGCGAAGACGGUUCGGCGAUUCGUCAAGCCGGUACGAAGUUAUUAAAGGAAUGGACGUUUAGGCUUUGUUUUCGCCUGGAGGGCCGAGGCGACAUCGUAAAAUCCUGGAAACGGAUUUGAAGCACCGUAAUAGCAAAACGAAGACCCUUUUUGCCCGAGGCUGCGAAGCGAUGCGCGGUUGGUGCGUAAUUGCAAGUUCCGACGGAACCGGGCACCGGAUGCUGGGGGAGGCCGAUUGUAAGUGUCGACAAGCAAUCGGAAUGCACUAACAGGUGGGUUGUGCUUACCGAAGCGACUAGGUCGCCUUUAUGUCUAAGCGAAUUAAGAAUCCUUGUUGAUGCAUAUAAAUGUAAAUGAUGCAUGUAGCUAAUGCUAAGUGAUGUAAUGUAGAAAUGCUAACUAGAAUGUAUAAUGAGCGAGUUAAAUAAUGCAUGUAAAUGUAAAUGUAAAUGCUAACUAGAAAUGCAUAAUGAGCAAGUUACAUAAUGCUAGAUAAUGUAUGUAAUAGUAUGAUGCAAAUGCUAAGUAGAUGCAUAUAAAUGAUAUGUGAGAUUAUAAACGCAUGAUUAGCAUUGUGAGAUUAUAAAUACAUGCUUAGCAUUGCGAGAUUAUAUAUGCAUAUGAACUUGGUUGAUAACUCUAGCUUGAUUAGAGAGAUAAUGUUGGAAAAUAGAAUUUGUAUAACUAUAAUACUCGCUAUGGACAAUUAGCAUGUGAACUAGACCGAGUGGUAUCUAACCUAGUGCUAAUAAACAUAGGUCGGACAUAGUGAUGUUGAACCUAGUGUUAGUGAACAUAGGUUGAACUAGUAAACCUAGAGUUUAUAACCUAGGUUGUGAUAUAGUAAACCUAGAGUGGCUUGAACCUAGGUUGUUGUGUAUAAUGGUAGCAACCACUAGAUUGUAUUAGGUCGACAGCAUAGGGUUGGUUAUGGACCCUCGACCUGUGUAAGUGGAUUCCGGAAUCCCAGGAUCUUUGAUGACCUUGGUAUCAAGGCUAGGGCGUGUGCGACGACUUCGCCGCCGAGGUCGAUACCAAGGAUGGAUUGGGGGUGAAUGCGCAGAGAUUACCGCCCGGGGCUUGAACCAUUGUCGUGGCGUGUGCAACGAUUUCGCCGCUCGAUGGUUAAGCCAGUUUGUGGAUUAUGCCGCCAGAUCGACUCGAGCCAUUGUUGGGUGAGGUGCGAUUCGUUCGCCGCCAGAUGGCCAAGUCAAGGGACUUGAACCAGUGUUCGGCGUGUGCGACGACUUCGGCGCCAGCUGGUUAAGUCACAUAGUGCAGCCAGUGCGCGGACUAUCAGCGGAUGAUUGACUCGAGGCCGAGUCGGGUGGUUAGCUUGAUUAGGUUAAUAGAAACCUUAUAAGCUAGUGAUAAAGGUAAGAGCUAAGGUAAUAGAGACCUUAGAGGCAAUGUGAACUUGAGUUGUGAACUAAGGUAGUAGAACCUUAGAUGCUAAAUGACAUGAGCUAAAGUUAGUAGAGUUGAGUGUAGAAUCAAUAGAUCUACUGAAUGGUUGCAUAAUUGCAUAGAACUGCCUGAUAUACAUAUUGCAUAUUGCGAGGCAUGUUAUCUGUUAGUUGCAUAAUAAACUGAUGAUUUAUAUAUCUAUAGAUGUUUUUGGACUAACAUGAUUGCAGUACCUCCUUGGACCUUUUGGUCGAGCUUUUUCCUUGGGUGGCCGUACCCACUGGGAACCAUGGAGUUGGUUCUCACCCCACGUUGUUUUGGGGUGUUACAGGUUCGUACGUGAGCGGCGCGGCGGCGCGAGGAAAGGGCAUAGCUCCGUAGAUAGCGCCCUACCCCAGAGACCAGAGCUAGCAGUACCCCGUCGACAUAGCUUAGGGGUUAAGGAAAUAAAAAGAACACAAUGGAACAUAAUGUAUCAAAUUUGUAAUAAGUAAAGGUUGUAAUAACUUAGUUUGCAUUUGGAUAAAAAGAAUAGUAAAUGUGAUGUAAAAUGUAUGCAAUGUGAAUGUUGUAAUAAUAUAGGAUGUGUUUAUGUUGUUUGAUACCUUCCAUUAUGCAAUCUUGAUUGAUAUCAGUUCUUGAUUGGAACCUUCGUAUUGUAUUGAUUGCGUUGCCUUGAACGUACAGGGGAGACUCUGUCUGCAGUACAGGGGAAACCCUGUCUCAGUUCUCCACCCCUUAAAGAAUUUCGUCCGCGAACAUUCAAACCUACGCUUCGAUUCAGCUCCGCGAGGCAAUUGAGGGGUACCAAACUCAUUCGCCCACUCCAAAAGCGGCUUUACACAAUCAUGUUCCAGAAGGGCUCAUACGAAGGAUUGUGGGUUUUAACCGCCUAACGCAUUUGAAGGUGUGAUACUACAGUGCACAACGGGUCUGCAAGCAUACUGGCAGGCGUAAGUCGGUACUCCGACGACUCUCACGCGCUCCAGACACCACUCGUCAUUUCGGCACACAAAAAACUCUUCUUCUGCAUACUUUCCCUUCAGGGUAAUCAUCUGAUUCGAUCACCGGACAUUGGCUUAGGAGCAAUAUCACCGCUGCAUGCGUUCCGUCGCCGAGUGCUCUAAUUUCGCACUGACGCUUAAACUGUUAUAACGCGAGAUGCCACUUCGGCACAUCUUUAAGUUUAAUGUCGUUUUCGAGCAAUAGUCUCACACUCACGUGGGCCUUCUACUAGCUCAAGGUCUCACCCAAGAGCACUUAUCUUUGAUACGCAUAUGCUACGUCAACAUGCGAAUAUUUCCGCAACGAGCCUAAGGCGAGCGCUUUCUCCGUCUGAAUUCGAGUCAACCCCUCGAUAAGGCUAUCCGCCAAAUUGCUCUCUUGUCGGUCUCCAACAGAGUGGACAAAGGCACCAAUCCUAUGUUACCGCCUACGCGCCGAAACCUGUCUCAACAGCACAGUCUUCGCUGGUCUACAAAUGCGCAGACCCAAUCAUCAAUCGGGCGAAAUUCUCAACUUGGGAAUUCGCACACUCACCCAACAGGGAACUAAGAUCACCAAACCACGGGCAAGCCCUCGGUGCUUGGCGUCACAACCAAUCACCGGUUGUACCAUCGGCUCAGCACAAUCUAUCACGUGGCAUUCCACGCUCCCGGUCUAAGCUCGACUACCGUCCGACCAGAACUCUGCACUAACCGUAGUACCGGCGUCACUGCACUCAGAGCGCUGACGCGUCUGGGCGCAAUGGGGCCCAGGCUCCACAGUCACAAAUGGUCUAGGCACCGGUCGUCCCCAAGCGCACUACCCGCCGUCGUCGUCCUACACAACAUGCUCGUCACCGAGUCCACGUAUCAUCUACCGGCCUACUAUAGCCUAAUGCGAGUCCACCAAUCCCACGAGUGAUCCAUGUUAACAUACCGAACUUCCUAAAAUCAUGAAGUCAAGCGGUGUAGGCAUUUAAAUAGUUCCGGUGAGGUUGCGGUGAAAACAGUUUUUGUUAAAAAACAUUUUUACGAGGUUUAAAUACAAAGUGAAAAAUAACAUAAAAAUAGUAUGAGUACGUAUUUUAUUGGAUUAUAGAGAGUGAAAUAUAGGUUGGGAAUGACCGUAUGCUGAAAGCAGAGAAGAAAACAGAAAAUUAGAAAUCUUUCUGUGAGAAACGGCGGCAGAUAGAAUUAGCGAGAAUGGCACAAGUUCAGAAAAUUUGAAAAUUGGCGAGAUGUCAGAAAUAUUGUUUAUGAGGCCCUAGAUUAAGUUUCAUAUCAUUUUGACACCCGUAGAGAGAGAAAUAAAAUCGCCGAAUAGCCUAUCUGAUAAAGAUUGUACGUCUCGUUCAGUUUUUAAGUGACUAAACGGAGGUCGAAACUGAAAACUUAAGAUAUUAUUCUUGGCUCCAGUAACGUUAAACUGAGCGGCUGUCACAAUUCUGAGGAAAAUGGGACCAGUUCCGAAGGGCCUGCCAACGAAAAUUUAUCAGAUUUCAAGUUGCCCGUAGUGAAUAGUGUAUAGGUUGAGGGGCAAAAUGGUUAAAAAGGGAUUUUAAACCCCUGUUUCUUCUCUCUUCCUCCCAGCGUGCUCACCACGACACACACCCACACAACCGUAUGGAAUGGAGAGAGAGCAGAUGCUCUACAACAUAUCAUUAUGCAUUCCUUUAAGCAUAUUCUUAUAAUGUUAACAUUCAUACGCCCUUUAUCUUAUGCAUUCAAAGCAUUAAUCACAUGCAUUUAUCUAGCAUUCUAUAAUAUGUUAACAUACUUCUUUUCACAUUCUUACAUUAUGUCAAUAUGCAUUCCUUUAGCAUUUUACAUUAUAUGUCAACAUGCAUCAAUAUGAAAUCUCAUUUCUCUUAGACAUACAGGCGACCUAGUCGCUUCGGUAAGCACAACCCACCUCAUUUCGCAUUCCGACUGCUUGUCGACACUUGCAAUCGGCCUCCCGCAGUACCUGGCACCCGGUUUGACCCGAUCUAUCGCGCGACCACCCGAACGGCCUCCAAUCCACGAUCCGAAAAUUAAAGGUCUUCGGUUAUGUGUCACGAUACUUCAAAUCCAUUUUCAUGAAUUUACGAUAUUGCCUCGACCCUCCAGGCGGAAACGAAGCCUAAACGUCCAUUUCUUUAAUAACUUCGCAACGGCUCGACGAAUCGCCGAACCGACUUCGCCAACGCGUUCGUUUACCUAGCAAUUAGGUUUCCAGAGGGUCAAAUGAGAUCAAACCCUCAUAUUUACAAAACUAGCAUUUUUUAGCCCUAGAUUACAACUAGAUAAAAAUCCACCAUUAGAGCCUUGGUUUCAAGCAUCAAACCUCUAAUUAGCAUGCUAGAAUAUCUCUAAACCCAUUCUUAGAGUUUAAAAAUCAAACUAGAGAGAAAUGCCAUUGAAGGGUUUGAAGCUUACCUUCAAAGCUUGCUCUCUAAUGGCCAAUGAUGAAGAUGAAGAAGACUUUCCUCUAAGCUUCCUUCUCCACCAAAGCCUUCAAUUUUGGGAGAGAUCUAGAGAGAGAAAAGGAGUUUUCUCUCUUUCCCUUUCCUUGUGUGUGUGUGUCGUGUGCGUGUGUGGUGUGCAGCCGAAGGAGAAGAAGAAGCAACAGCUUCUUCAUAAUACCCCUCAAACACUAUUCACUCCAGGCAGCUUGAAAUCUGAUAACUUUCGUCGGAACUCUCUGAAUGUCCGUUUGAGCUCAAACUUGACAGUCAUAUUCGGUUUUAUGUAUUGAGCAAGAAUAUAUUUUAAGUUUUCAGUUUCGACCCCAUUUGGUCACAAAAAAUUGUGCCGAACUGUAAUCUUUAUCAGAUAACUCUCGGAUUUUAUUUCUCACUCUACGGGUGUCAGAAAAAUAUGAAACUUUAAAUCUAGCCUCAUAAAAAUAUUUCUGACUUAUUCUCCGAUUUUCAUAAUUUUCUGAGACUGUGUAUUUUCUGCUAAUCUAUCUGUUCCGUUUCCAACAGAAAAUUCUAGAUCUUCUAUUUUCAUUCCGACUUCAGCACAAGUCACUUCUGACUUAUAUUUUACUUCUAUAAAUCCAAUAAAAAUAGUUUCUCACACUAUUUUUAUUUAUUUUUAUUUUUAUACCAAAAUCUG
rnacentral:lncRNA from 1 species